rnacentral:rRNA from 1 species
AUGAGGCUUGUGAUGUUCCAGGAGAUCAUAACGGCGAAAAUGAUGAAGAAAAUGAAGAAAACAGUGCAACGCACUGUCCAUAUCGCGUGUGUCACGGCAGAGGGAGCAGAUCCGCCUCGGGAUCCGGCGCGCCAGCCACAACCGCGAGCCACAGAAGAUCAUCCAGGAGCAGAACCAGCCGAAACUGCUGGUGUAGGCGGAUCCGCCUUGGAUCUGGCGCAGGAGGAUUCAUCUGCCGGAUCUUCUGUGGCGCAAAACAACACUGGUGCACCACAACGUCGCACACGGCUGCAAUCAGGGGUAACUAAGCUUGUUAAUUAUAAACGCAUAACAAAAUAUGGCUUAAUCUGCUCCACAGGGGAACCAGGUGAGCCCAAUACGCUUGAAGAGGCCCUUGGCGAUGAGAAGUGGAGAAAGGCAAUGCGUGAGGAAUAUGUGGCACUACAGAAAAAUAAAACUUGGCAUUUAGUCCCUCCAAGGCAAGGUAAAAAUCUCAUUGAUUGCAAAUGGGUUUUUAGAAUCAAACGCAAGUCUGAUGGAACAGUUGAUCGUUACAAGGCAAGGCUAGUUGCUAAGGGUUUUAAACAAAGAUAUGGCAUAGACUAUGAGGAUACAUUUAGUCCGGUGGUAAAAGAUGCAACUAUUCGUCUUGUCCUAUCCAUGGCUGUUUCCAGGGGAUGGAGUCUUCGACAGUUAGACGUACAGAACGCGUUUCUUCAUGGUGUUCUGGAAGAGGAGGUUUACAUGAAACAACCUCCUGGGUUUGAAAGCAAACAUGCACCCUCUUAUGUAUGCAAGCUUGACAAAGCACUGUAU